UAGCACAGGUGCUGCAUGGCCGUCGUCAGCUCGUGCCGUGAGUGUGGGUUAAGUCCCGCAACGAGCGCAACCCCGCCGUUAGUUGCCAGCGGUUCGGCGGGCACUCUAACGGGACUGCCCGCGAAAGCGGGAGGAAGGAGGGGACGACGUCUGGUCAGCAUGGCCCUUACGGCCUGGGCGACACACGUGCUACAAUGCCCACUACAAAGCGAGACCACCCGGCAACGGGGAGCUAAUCGCAAAAAGGUGGGCCCAGUUCGGAUUGGGGUCUGCAACCCGACCCCAUGAAGCCGGAAUCGCUAGUAAUCGCGGAUCAGCACGCCGCGGUCGAAUACGUUCCCGGGCCUU
rnacentral:rRNA from 1 species